CAGUGAUAAACUGGAGGAAGGUGGGGAUGACGUCAAGUCAUCAUGGCCCUUACGACCAGGGCUACACACGUGCUACAAUGGCGCAUACAAAGAGAAGCGACCUCGCGAGAGCAAGCGGACCUCAUAAAGUGCGUCGUAGUCCGGAUUGGAGUCUGCAACUCGACUCCAUGAAGUCGGAAUCGCUAGUAAUCGUGGAUCAGAAUGCCACGGUGAAUACGUUCCCGGGCCUUGUACACACCGCCCGUCACACCAUGGGAGUGGGUUGCAAAAGAAGUAGGUAGCUUAACCUUCGGGAGGGCGCUUACCACUUUGUGAUUCAUGACUGGGGUGAAGUCGUAACAAGGUAACCGUAGGGGAACCUGCGGUUGGAUC
rnacentral:rRNA from 2 species